CGCAGGCGGUUUUGUAAGUCUGUCGUGAAAGCCCCGGGCUCAACCUGGGAAUUGCGAUGGAGACUGCAAGGCUUGAAUCUGGCAGAGGGGGGUAGAAUUCCACGUGUAGCAGUGAAAUGCGUAGAGAUGUGGAGGAACACCGAUGGCGAAGGCAGAUCUCUGGGCCGUAACUGACGCUGAGGAGCGAAAGCAUGGGGAGCGAACAGGAUUAGAUACCCUGGUAGUCCAUGC
rnacentral:rRNA from 1 species